UACAGAGACUGCAAGCGUUAUUCGGAUUCACUGGGCGUAAAGGGUGCGCAGGCGGCCGUGUGUGUGAGGCGUGAAAGCCCGAUGCUUAACAUCCGAAUUGCACCUCAAACUACACGGCUAGAGCAUUGGAGAGGGUAGCGGAAUUCACGGUGUAGCAGUGAAAUGCGUAGAUAUCAUGAGGAAGACCAGAGGCGAAGGCGGCUACCUGGACAAUUGCUGACGCUCAGGCACGAAGGCGUGGGGAGCAAAAGGG
rnacentral:rRNA from 1 species